rnacentral:rRNA from 1 species
UGCUCAGAUUGAACGCUGGCGGCAGGCUUAACACAUGCAAGUCGAGCGGGGGAAGGUAGCUUGCUACUGGACCUAGCGGCGGACGGGUGAGUAAUGCUUAGGAAUCUGCCUAUUAGUGGGGGACAACAUCUCGAAAGGGAUGCUAAUACCGCAUACGUCCUACGGGAGAAAGCAGGGGAUCUUCGGACCUUGCGCUAAUAGAUGAGCCUAAGUCGGAUUAGCUAGUUGGUGGGGUAAAGGCCUACCAAGGCGACGAUCUGUAGCGGGUCUGAGAGGAUGAUCCGCCACACUGGGACUGAGACACGGCCCAGACUCCUACGGGAGGCAGCAGUGGGGAAUAUUGGACAAUGGGGGGAACCCUGAUCCAGCCAUGCCGCGUGUGUGAAGAAGGCCUUAUGGUUGUAAAGCACUUUAAGCGAGGAGGAGGCUACUUUAGUUAAUACCUAGAGAUAGUGGACGUUACUCGCAGAAUAAGCACCGGCUAACUCUGUGCCAGCAGCCGCGGUAAUACAGAGGGUGCGAGCGUUAAUCGGAUUUACUGGGCGUAAAGCGUGCGUAGGCGGCUUAUUAAGUCGGAUGUGAAAUCCCCGAGCUUAACUUGGGAAUUGCAUUCGAUACUGGUGAGCUAGAGUAUGGGAGAGGAUGGUAGAAUUCCAGGUGUAGCGGUGAAAUGCGUAGAGAUCUGGAGGAAUACCGAUGGCGAAGGCAGCCAUCUGGCCUAAUACUGACGCUGAGGUACGAAAGCAUGGGGAGCAAACAGGAUUAGAUACCCUGGUAGUCCAUGCCGUAAACGAUGUCUACUAGCCGUUGGGGCCUUUGAGGCUUUAGUGGCGCAGCUAACGCGAUAAGUAGACCGCCUGGGGAGUACGGUCGCAAGACUAAAACUCAAAUGAAUUGACGGGGGCCCGCACAAGCGGUGGAGCAUGUGGUUUAAUUCGAUGCAACGCGAAGAACCUUACCUGGCCUUGACAUACUAGAAACUUUCCAGAGAUGGAUUGGUGCCUUCGGGAAUCUAGAUACAGGUGCUGCA